UAUAACUGUUAAAUGCCUAUUCAUUAUAUCCCUUCCACAAACCCUCAAUUGAAGGGUUUCUUGUUCGCAUUUUUGGCAAUUUCCUCUAAAACUUCAACGCCUAAAAAGGUAAAGAAUCUAAAAAUAUUACGAGCUUGAAGACAAAGCACUCAACAUUAUAACAAAAAAAACUUAAAAAAAUUAAAAAAUGACUUAGAAGUGUCGCAAAUAAUAAAGCAGAAAGAAGAAAUUUUAUGGACUUUAAGAUAAUUCCAAAAAUUUCUUCAGUUUACCACCGACCAAAUCAAGAUCUUUGCGGUAAAUUAAAAAUGUGUCAUGACCAUAAAAACUUUCGUUGGCAUCAAGUUCGUGAUACACAACCUGCUUAUUACCGGCUUUUUCCAGACAGCGAGCGGUCUCACGUUGACAUUCAACAGGCAUAAGGUUGUCGCUUUCGACACCCAUGACCAUAACAGGAGUAUCCUUAAGGGGAGCCAAACCAGCUAUCAAAUUCGUUUCUGGAUCGGGUUCAGGAGCACGGUCUUCGUUCGCUAUCUCCUGAUAAGGAACGUCAGGUAAUACACUUGUAUCUUCAUUUAAUUUUAUUAUUUCCUCAGCGGAAACGUCGGCACUUAGGUAUUUGUCUAGUUUAUGUUGAUUCUUCUUUCUGUUCUCCGAUAAACUACGCUGAUGAGAGGCAGACAUAUCAUGCAUGUCCAUAGCUUUUGAGAUGUAUAAAAGUGAGUUAGGGUCGUAUUGCAAGCAGAAUUUUUCACCAGCGUGAUCCAAGUAGGUUUCAAUAAGAAAAUCGGGACAAAAAGCGGGAGAAACCGAAGGAUCAGCACGUCGGUUUCCAAAUCGUUGCUCCCACUCAGGACCAGAACGAUAAGAAAUAGUGGCGACUUCACGAGCUAAUUUCAUACCGGUGUGAGGAGGGACACCAUCAUAAUAAAAACCGCGAUUCCAGUAAGGGUCAUUCAUGAGGAUUUGGCGCUGAGUAAAUCUCAAUGCAAUUGAAUAGGGGUGAGAACGAGCUCCACCAGAAAUACUAGCGAUUCGACCCACGCGAUGAGGGGCCAAUGCUCCCAAAGUUAAAGAUUGCAUACCGCCGAGAGAGCUACCAACACUAGCGUAUAACUUUUCGAUUUUAAGAUGGUCCAAAAGAAGAAGCUGCGCUCUAAUCAUGUCAUUUACAGUGAUGAUUGGAAAGCGAGUGGCAUAAUGCUUACCAUCACCAGGGUCAACAGAAGAUGGGCCCGUACUACCGUAGCAACUGCCAAGGACGUUUGUGCAAAUAACGAAAAAUUUAUUGGUAUCAACAUCUUUACCCGGUCCGAUGAACUGCUCCCACCAUCCAGGCGCCGUGUUUUCAGGGUGUGAAUGAGCAUGAGAAGAUGCUGAUAAACCGGUGUGUAGAAGAAUCGCAUUAGAAUGAUCUUUAUUCAAUGUUCCCCAAGUUUCGUAAGCUAUUUCAAAUUUCGGCAGAAUACCACCAUGAUCGCAUAAGAAGGGUUUGUUGUGGUAAAAUUUUUUAAAGCCUGACACAAUUUUACCGUAAACAGGCUCAGGACCUGAAGAGAGUGACGGGGAUGUGAUAGAUGCGCUAGGGUCUACAGAGUUAGGACAUGCCUGCUGUUUUUGCAGAGACUGCUCGAAUUGUCUGCUACGCUCCUGUGCUUGAUCUACGCAAGGAAAUGACAAUUGUGGGUUCGAACUUUGAAAGCGACGAAACACUUGCCAAGAUAGUUGUAAACGCUUACUGGAAGCUCUCAACAUCCUUGUGAAAAAUUUUAAGGUGUAAAUUACGCUACUGCGAGUAUGAAGGAAAACUGCCAAACCCUCGUAUAUAAAUUUAUAGCACAAUUACCAAAUCAGUCAUACCGAUGUCGCAAUUUUCCUAUACCGUUUUUCCAUCAUUAGGAAUAUGUGGGGGGAGGAUUAGUAAAGUUGUUACCCCCUUAAUUUCUUAAAUAAUUUAAACCGCCGGAGUUGGCAGAUUUCGUAAACUCGGAUUUACAUUUCAUAUUAGUGUGUAAGCGUGGUAUUCUUAAACGCUACAUUUAAAAGUGCACAUUUUUCGAUGUUUGUAUCAAUUCCUACAUUUGAGUUGGUUUGCUUUGGAUGGCCAGGCGCUUAACUUGGCAAUGUUUUAAAAAAGGUAACAUCUGAUUUUUUUUUUAUAAAAAAAAAAAAAGGAAAAAAUAACCAGAUAAGGAUAUACAAAAAGUUCUGUAUUAAUGUUUAACGUAUUUUACUGUAUUGGAAAUAGGCUUGAUUUGUCAUGAAAACGCAAAUGUUUGAGUUAAGAUGAUAAAA